CCUACGGGUGACAGCAGUGGGGAAUAUUGGGCAAUGGGCGCAAGCCUGACCCAGCAACGCCGCGUGAAGGAAGAAGGCUUUCGGGUUGUAAACUUCUUUUCUCAGGGACGAAGCAAGUGACGGUACCUGAGGAAUAAGCCACGGCUAACUACGUGCCAGCAGCCGCGGUAAUACGUAGGUGGCAAGCGUUAUCCGGAUUUACUGGGUGUAAAGGGCGUGUAGGCGGGACUGCAAGUCAGAUGUGAAAACCACGGGCUCAACCUGUGGCCUGCAUUUGAAACGGUAGUUCUUGAGUACUGGAGAGGCAGAUAGAAUUCCUAGUGUAGCAGUGAAAUGCGUAGAGAUGAGGAGGAAUACCAGUGGCGAAGGCGGUCUGCUGGACAGCAACUGACGCUCAUGCGCGAAAGCGUGGGGAGCAAACAGGAUUAGAUACCCGUGUAGUC
rnacentral:rRNA from 1 species